rnacentral:rRNA from 1 species
AGUAAAUAGAUACCCCGGUAGUCCACGCCGUAAACGAUGAGUACUAGGUGUAGGAGGUAUCGACUCCUUCUGUGCCGCAGUUAAACACAAUAAGUACUCCGCCUGGGAAGUACGGUCGCAAGAUUAAAACUCAAAGGAAUUGACGGGGGCCCGGCACAAGCAGCGGAGCAUGUGGUUUAAAUUCGAAGCAACGCGAAGAACCUUACCUAGACUUGACAUCUCCUGAAUAGUGUAGAGAUACAUGAAGCCCUUCGGGGUCGAGGAAGACAGGUGGUGCAUGGUUGUCGUCAGCUCGUGUCGUGAGAUGUUGGG